rnacentral:rRNA from 1 species
UGGGGAAUAUUGGACAAUGGGCGAAAGCCUGAUCCAGCCAUGCCGCGUGAGUGAAGAAGGCCCUAGGGUUGUAAAGCUCUUUCACCGGUGAAGAUAAUGACGGUAACCGGAGAAGAAGCCCCGGCUAACUUCGUGCCAGCAGCCGCGGUAAUACGAAGGGGGCUAGCGUUGUUCGGAUUUACUGGGCGUAAAGCGCGCGUAGGCGGAUUGGUCAGUUAGGGGUGAAAUCCCAGGGCUCAACCCUGGAACUGCCCUUAAUACUGCCAGUCUUGAGUAUGGAAGAGGUGAGUGGAAUUCCGAGUGUAGAGGUGAAAUUCGUAGAUAUUCGGAGGAACACCAGUGGCGAAGGCGGCUCACUGGUCCAUUACUGACGCUGAGGUGCGAAAGCGUGGGGAGCAAA